ACUCCUACGGGAGGCAGCAGUGAGGAAUAUUGGACAAUGGGCGAGGGCCUGAUCCAGCCAUGCCGCGUGCAGGAAGAAUGCCCUAUGGGUAGUAAACUGCUUUUAUACGGGAAGAAAAAGGGGCACGUGUGCCCUGUUGACGGUACCGUAAGAAUAAGGACCGGCUAACUCCGUGCCAGCAGCCGCGGUAAUACGGAGGGUCCGAGCGUUAUCCGGAAUUAUUGGGUUUAAAGGGUGCGUAGGCGGCCUGUUAAAGUCAGUGGUGAAAGGUAUCAGCUCAAUCUGAUGACGUGCCAUUGAAACUGGCGGGGCUUUGAGUACAGACGAGGUAGGCGGAAAUUUAUGGUGUAGCGGUGAAAUGCAUAGAUACCAUAAAGAACACCGAUAGCGAAGGCAGCUUACUAGGCUGAGACUGACGCUGAGGCACGAAAGCGUGGGGAGCGAACAGGAUUAGAUACCCUGGUA
rnacentral:rRNA from 1 species